rnacentral:rRNA from 1 species
AACGAACGCUGGCGGCAGGCCUAACACAUGCAAGUCGAGCGCCCUUUCGGGGGAGCGGCGGCCGGGUGCGUAACGCGUGGGAAUAUGCCCUUCUCUACGGAAUAGCCUCGGGAAACUGAGAGUAAUACCGUAUACGCCCUGUGGGGGAAAGAUUUAUCGGGGAAGGAUUAGCCCGCGUUGGAUUAGGUAGUUGGUGGGGUAAUGGCCUACCAAGCCGACGAUCCAUAGCUGGUUUGAGAGGAUGGUCAGCCACACUGGGACUGAGACACGGCCCAGACUCCUACGGGAGGCAGCAGUGGGGAAUCUUAGACAAUGGGGGCAACCCUGAUCGAGCCAUGCCGCGUGAGUGAUGAAAGCCUUAGGGUUGUAAAGCUCUUUCAGCUGGGAAGAUAAUGACGGUACCAGCAGAAGAAGCCCCGGCUAACUCCGUG